AUUUGAAAAACAUACACCGGAACAAAUUGAUUCAGAUUCUUUACGGAAAGCCGUUUACACGAGAGUUUUCUCCGGAUUCAAAUGUUUCCGGAUACAAAGUUUCUACUUUUUUUCCCGGAUUCAAAGUUUUCGGAUACGUCCUACAACCAAGAUGAUUUUCCACCGGAUUUGUCGCUGUAUGUGUAAACGCAUGUAUGAAUCCGAUGCCAAAACGUUUCGGUUUUGUCAUGAAUCCGGAAUCUUUCGCUCUAGUGUAAACGGGGUCUAA